GAAGGGUGCAAGCGUUACUCGGAAUUACUGGGCGUAAAGCGUGCGUAGGUGGUUCGUUAAGUCUGCCGUGAAAGCCCCGGGCUCAACCUGGGAAUGGCGGUGGAUACUGGCGGACUAGAGUGCGGUAGAGGGUGGUGGAAUUCCCGGUGUAGCAGUGAAAUGCGUAGAGAUCGGGAGGAACAUCUGUGGCGAAGGCGGCCACCUGGACCAGCACUGACACUGAGGCACGAAAGCGUGGGGAGCAAACAGGAUUAGAUACCCUGGUAGUCCACGCCCUAAACGAUGCGAACUGGACGUUAGGAGCAACUAGGCUCUUAGUGUCGAAGCUAACGCGUUAAGUUCGCCGCCUGGGGAGUACGGUCGCAAGACAG
rnacentral:rRNA from 1 species